UAUUAAUUUAUUAUUUAUGAUUAUGAAAUUUUUAGUUUAAUUUAUUUAUUUUUAGUAUUAUGAAGAAAUAAUUAGUUUAUUAUUACUGUCAAGGAAUUAUUAUUAAUAUCAUAUUAGUAUUUUUGAUAGUACCUUUUGUAUCAGGGUUGAUUUAUUUAUUAAUUUAUAUUUUUUGUCCCGAAUUUAGGGUAUCUAGAAGUAAAUUUUUUUUAUAAGUUUUAUAUUGUUAAUUAAUUUAUUUUUAGUAAUUAUAAGUUAUUCGUCCCUUAAUUAUAUCUGGUUUUGUAGGAAGUGAAUUAAAUUUAGCUUUUAAUUUUAAGGUUAUAUAAUGGGGGAUAAUCUCUAUUUUUUAUUAAAAUUUAGGCACUAAUAUUUUUAUUAUCAUUAGUAUCUUUGUAUUAAGUUCGUAGUAGAUUUUAAUUAUUAUUUAUGAUUUUUUUUUAUUUAUUUUUAUACUACAAUUGUAUAGUGAAUUUUUAUUUAUUUUUAUUAAUGAUUAAAUUAGUAUAAUUUUUAUUUAUUGAUUUAUGAAUUCGACAGUUUUAAUUUUCAACUGUUUAUCAAAAACAUUUCUUUAAGAUUUAUAUUUAAAGUAGGUUCUGCCCUAUGAUAGAGAUAAAAUUUAAAUGGCUGCAGUAUUCUGACUGUACAAAGGUAGCAUAAUAAUUAGUUUCUUAAUUAGGGACUUGUAUGAAUGAAUUAAUGAAAAAUUUAUUUUAUUAUAAUUAUUUUUGUAAUUUAAUUUUUAGGUUAAAAAGCCUAACUGUAUUAUUGGGACGAUAAGACCCUAUAGAACUUAAAAAUUUUUUAACUAUUUUGUAUUUUAGGCUUAGUUAUAUAUAUUUAUUUAAUUUUUUUACUGGGGUGGUAAAUAAAUGUUUAACUUUAUUUUUUUAGUUCAUUAAUUUAUGAUUAAGAUUGAUCCAUUAGGUUUAAUGAUUAUAAGAUUAAGUUACCUUAGGGAUAACAGCGUAAUUUUAAUGGAAAGUUCAUAUUUAUAUUAAAGUUUGCGACCUCGAUGUUGAAUUAAGAUAAUAUUAAGGGGUAGGUUCUUUAAGGUUAGGUCUGUUCGACCUUUAAAUUCUUACAUGAUUUGAGUUCAAACCGGUGUAAGCCAGGUUGGUUUCUAUCUAAUUAAUUAUUAAUUUAUUUAGUACGAAAGGACCAAUAAAUUCUAUAAUUAAUAGUUUUAUUUGAAUUAUAU
rnacentral:rRNA from 1 species